rnacentral:lncRNA from 1 species
GUUAGAGUUGGUAUACUAGCUUAUUAUGAUUAUGUGACAAAUGGAUAGUAUUAGAAAUAUUUCAACUGCAAUAAGAAUGCACAGCUACAUCACAGAAACACACUUCAAGGAAUCUAGUGAUGAAUAGAGGUUUAAACACUAUAAUGAAACUUCAGAUAUAAAGUAGCUUAAAAUAAGAAGGCCAAAAUAGGUCACACUUCCUAGUCAUACCUGCUCAUACAGCUUUGAUAGCAUCUCAGGCCGAGUAACUAUCAAUGCUGCUAAGCAUUUGGCAGCAGCUCGUCUAACCUUCCAGCUGACAUCUUCAUCGUCAGUGUAUUCAUUAGCACUCUCGCUAGAUCAAAAAUUAGCAAGUGAUUAGAUUAGCAAAUAUAAACCUAUUGGGUCUUUGCAAACUCCAGAGUUCUAACCUUCCAACUGACAUCUUCAUCGUCAGUGUAUUCAUUAGCACUCUCG